rnacentral:rRNA from 1 species
UACGUAGGGUGCGAGCGUUAAUCGGAAUUACUGGGCGUAAAGCGUGCGCAGGCGGUUUUGUAAGUCUGACGUGAAAUCCCCGGGCUUAACCUGGGAAUUGCGUUGGAGACUGCAAGGCUAGAAUCUGGCAGAGGGGGGUAGAAUUCCGACGUGUGAGCAGUGAAAUGCGUAGAGAUGUGGAGGAACACCGAUGGCGAAGGCAGCCCCCUGGGUCAAGAUUGACGCUCCAUGCACGAAAGCGUGGGGAGCAAACAGG